CAUGCUCUCUCUCUCUCUCCCCCUUCACUUUCUCUCUCCCUCUUUCUUCUCCUCCCUCCCUCCCUCCACCCCUCCCCCUGCACGCACAGCCCUCCGCCGAAGCGCAGCGAUAACAAUACCGAGCAGCCUCUGCCUGCCGUCACUGAGCAAAGUUGUUUUGUGUCCAUGCACCAGAGCUCCCAGCCUGGGACAUAAUAAGGGGAGGAUCUGGCCCCCAGACAAUCUCAUGAAGUAUCGAUUUUAAAUGAAAAUAACGCAAAACGCCAUGCUUGGGCUUUGCCAGAAAACACCGGAUUUGCUUUUAUGUUUUGUCGGGGACAGGCCGGUUGUAGCCCAUGAAAUUGUAGUAGAGCCGAGUUGCGACGAGCAAUAAAUGAUGGAAACGAAGCCUGGUAUGAGGUUCUGGAUUAAAAUUCAGCCUGGGCCUGGGGGAAAGUGAGCCGGAACAAUGCUGCUGGUGCUUGUAUCUGUUACGAGGAUGAGUUUCCCAAGUUGGCACCUGCCAGAGCGUGUGCUCUAUCAGGUCUAAGGCCUUACCCCGAGAUUUUGCUUGUGCCUGCUUAUGAAAUGUUGACUUUCCCCAAGUAACAGACUUCUAUUUGUAUUUUCUGGUAGGUAGACCUAAUAGUAACAUUUGUUAAUUACUCUGUUUUGAGCAUUUUUUCAGUCUUACAAGUGCUCUACAAAAUGCAAAGCAUACAACAUAAACACCUCCAUAAACCAACUGUCCAACGAGAGUAAUUACCUACUACAUAAAGGAGCCUAGCCCUCAUAUUCCCUCAACCCAUCCAUCCCUACAGGCCUGAGAAAAAAUAAAAGGCUCUGCAGCACAUCUGGAAGGUUACCAGAUCUAAGCUCUGGCUGAUGCCUCUUAACGGUUCUGCUGCUGCCUUUAAAUCACUUAGCAGAAAUGGUAACGCUGGCAGAAAAAUUGCUCUCACCAACACUGUUUUACUGAAUCUUUUAGUCUUGAACAUGUUUCUAUCAAGCAGGUGGCUUCCCUCAUUUACACAGCUGUAACCAAAAGUGCCCUCCGGCUCAUGGAGUUUCCCAGUUCUGGGUGCUGUGAUCAAGAGAAACUAAUAGAGCAGGGGUGGCUUAUACUUUUUGAGGCAGAAUUUCUGCGCUGAAUCUUUUUGUGGGUGAGAGGCAUAUGUCUGGGAGAGCGCAGCAGAGGAGAAACUUGGGAGUUGCUCACAGACAUGGAUGGCUCCUCGGGGCUUCUGCUAUUGAUCUGUAGGAUGAGCCCCAGAAAACAGUUUCUUACAGAAAUAAUCUAACAAUAAUUUGGCAUAGCUGGAGAUUCGGAGUUAGAACUGAUACUAGGUUGAGAUCAUCAGCCCUUUUUGCAUAUAUCAUGCAAAAGUCAUCAAACGGUGACAAUUUCUGGCCAAUAUUCAAACAAGUGAUUUAGAGCUCGAAGGGUUUAUCUCAUAACUCAGCCACAGAUUGCAUUUAUGAGUGUAUUCUAAGUAGUAUAAGAAUAAUGGACAUAAGUUAAUGUUCAACCUAGGAGAUCUCAAGGGCUUCCAGAAAAAACUUGUUAAAAUUCCAUGAUUAAGUUGAAGAGAGGAUUAGGGUAAUUCCCAUGUUAGUCAUGGAGUUGAGUCUCUCUUUCAACUUGUCCAAAUUAAUUUUCAUUCCUAGGGUUCAUAAAAAUUCCGUAAAAAAUGAAUGUUUUCAAUUUGGAACAUACUAGUGUGCUCACAGCUUCAAAUAUUUUGAAAAAUAAAAGAACUUUUCCCGUGUGGGCCUAUCCUUAUGUUUAAUCUGGCAGGUACUGCCACUACCACUGUCCUCGAUUCAAAUUAUGCAAAUAAAGCACUUUACUUACAAUUUAGGCCUUGAUCUGACAAACAUUUAUACACGAGAUCUCAGCAAAUUCAGUCACACUACACACUGCAUACCACUGUUCAUAUGCCUGAAUAUUUACAAGAUGGAGGCCAUACUCCAUUAUUUAGAAUUAAUAAUGGAGGGAUAAAGAUAAUGAGCAAAAGUACUUAAGGGCAUAUUAGUUUACCCGCUUUUAUUGCUUUCUUCAUUACAUCUCACGAAAUAUCUGUCUUUGAUAAACAAAACCAAAACACCUAAUUAAUAGUUUCUUCAUUCCCUGCAAUCUCCUUUUCUUUCCGAGGACAUUCAAUUCUUAAUAAGGAGUUUUAUCACAGUAAUGGCAAAAAUAGUAUUUUUUUUCUACUCCACACAUCCAAAAUUCUUAAGGGUGGAGAUUUUUUGAAUUAUAAGAUUAUUAAUCAUUGGCAACACUUGAAAAUAAUUGUUUUAGGAAGUACACAAUCAUGCAUAGCUAGGGAGAAUGCAGUUUUGUGUAGAUAGUGUCAAGUGGGAAAGAAAAACUGAAUGGUGUAGAUGGCAAAACAGCUUAAAUAUUUUUCAAAUUGGGGUAAUAAAAGCCUUGUUGUUAGUGCUGCUUUCUCAUACUUCAGUAAGAAUAAUAUGACCCUUUGAAUUAUGCACUCAGGGUGCUUUUCUAAAUUCACAAUUUCAUGUUGAUCACCUAUAAGAACUGAAAAUAAAAAUUCUAAUUGUUCUUUUAUUUAGGCAAGUAGUCUUCAGGAAAAAAAAAAGAAAAAAGAAAGUCCUAGGAGUAGGUAAUAUUUACUUGACUGUGUCUUGUAAUUUAUUACAGAACUUAACCAAUUUACCCUCAUUGGCUUUCCUGGCACUAUCAUUACCUAACAUGCAAGUUUCUCCAGUCUGUUUCUUACAUCGAGACAAUGCAAGACAUGCUCCAGUUCUGGCAGUCUUCCACUUCCAUCCCACACUGAUCACUUUACAUCUCUCUGUAUUCUCUCCUCACACUGAUUUGGAGUCAUCAUGACCAGACUGCCUCUACAACUGGUGUAACAGGUAGCUCUCCUCCACUGAGAUGCAAACAGAUCUUCAUGUGAAAAGAAAGAAGGAAAGAUCUGCUUUGGGGACUGUUGAAGUUACAGUAACAGAGGGCCAUGAAGGGACAGCUGAGAAGCAAAUAGUUUCUUAUGCCAAGACCAAGGAACCAAAACAGAACAUUCUGACUCCUUGCAAAGCCAGAAUGAAGAAAAUGAAAGGAAAAAUGUUGUAAAUGGACAUCUUCAGCAAAAGGAUGAGUAGCAUGGGCUCGAGUUCUACUGCCAUCAGUGUAAGGAACACCGUUUCAGAAAGAACUGUAAAAACUGAAUUGUGUAGACACUCUAUUACUCUGAGGAAAAAAAAAAAAAAAAAAGUUUGCAUUUGGAGAUCAGCAUAGGAAGCCACUGUCUUUAUACAUGGCUUAGCAUCAGUGUUGCUGAAGGCAAUGGGAAACAGAAGCCAUUUUGAAAGAGCACUAGUCUUUGUGUUUUGCUGGAAAAAAUGUGUGCACCAGCUUCUAAUGAAAAUAAGUUUCAUCCCUGUGUUUUUAUUGUUAUUUUCAAAGGCAAACCAUGUGCUUACUUUACUACAUCUAUUCUAAACAGAGGCAAGGAGGGUGGGAUAAAGAAGGGUGAGUAUGUGAGUGUGCAUUUAAAUGGAGAAUUGCACAGGAGAACAAGUGUCGGCUGUAUGGUCCUGCAGUGGAGAUCAGGGAGCUGUGGGGAAGCCCAGGGUGGACACCUCAACCACGUGGGCUCCUGUGCCACUACAAAGAGAAAG